GCAACGUCCAGUACUUUCGAGUGGAAGAACACAGCGUUCUCGUGCGUCUCAGACGACUGUGUUAAUAGCCACUGCCAUGGCAGAAGCUUUUAAAACGAGCGACACGCUCGACACGAAAACGUAACAUCAUUUCUCCUUACCAAAUGGAUUCGAGGCAAAAGAUGGAAGAUUUAAAGUUUGAGGUUCACCCAUAUCUGAGAUCGUCAUUUCUGAGUUUAUCUUCGCGGGGAACAGAGUAAAAAGGAACAAUUGGAUUAAUAUUUUUACUCACUGACGCACUCGCCGUGUUUCGGCCCAUCCCAUGAACCAUCCGAUCGACAAGUCAAUUCAUAUUCUCCAUGAAGCUGAUACC